GACGAACGCUGGCGGCGUGCUUAACACAUGCAAGUCGAACGGGUCGGCCCUGUUUUUUGCGGGGUGGGUCAGUGGCGAGAGGGGGAGUAACACGGGAGUAACCUGCCCCUCACUUCUGGGUAACCGCUUGAAAGGGUGGCUAAUACGGGGUGUUCUGGCUGUGCCGCAUGGUGUGGCUGGGAAAGAUUCACUUUUGUGGUGUUUUGGAGGGGGAUGGGCUCGCUGCCUAUCAGCGUGUUGGUGGGGUCAUGGCCGGCCAAGGCUUUGACGGGUAGCCGGCGUGAGAGGGUGGGCGGUCACACGGGGACUGAGACACGGCCCAGUCUCCCGCGGGGGGGCGCAGUGGGGGGUAUUGCACAGUGGGAGGAAGCCUGAUGCAGCGGCGUCGCGUGUGGGGUGGAUGUCUUCGGGGUGUGAACCUCUUUCGCCGGUGAAGAAGGUCCUGAUCUUUGUGGUGGGGUUGACGGUGGCCGGGUUAUGAAGCGCCGGCUAACUACGUG
rnacentral:rRNA from 1 species